rnacentral:misc_RNA from 1 species
GAUGAAGAACUCAGCGAAAUGCGAUACGUAAUGUGAAUUGCAGAAUUCAGUGAAUCAUCGAAUCUUUGAACGCAUAUUGCGCUCUUUGGUAUUCCGAAGAGCAUGCUUGUUUGAGUAUCAGUAAACACCUCAAAGACUUCAAUUUGUUUUGAAUGGCUUUGGACUUGAGCAAUCCCAACACCAGUCUUUACGAUCGGUGGAGGGUUGCUUGAAAUGCAGGUGCAGCUGGACAUUCUCCUGAGCUAAAAGCAUAUUUAUUUAGUCCCGUCAAACGGAUUAUUACUUUUGCUGCAGCUAACAUAAAGGGAGUUUGACCGUAUUGGCUGACUGAUGCAGGAUUUCACAAGGGUCGGCAACGAUUCUUGUAAAACUCGAUCUCAAAUCAAGUAAGACUACCCGCUGAACUUAAGCAUAUCAAUAAGCGGAGGA